rnacentral:rRNA from 1 species
ACCUACGGGGGGCAGCAGUGGGGGAUAUUGCACAAUGGGGGGAACCCUGAUGCAGCGACGCCGCGUGGGUGAAGAAGCGCCUCGGCGCGUAAAGCCCUGUCAGCAGGGAAGAAAAUGACGGUACCUGAAGAAGAAGCCCCGGCUAACUACGUGCCAGCAGCCGCGGUAAUACGUAGGGGGCAAGCGUUAUCCGGAUUUACUGGGUGUAAAGGGGGCGCAGACGGCGAUGUAAGCCAGGAGUGAAAGCCCGGGGCCCAACCCCGGGACUGCUCUUGGAACUGCGUGGCUGGAGUGCAGGAGGGGCG